UAAGACUGAUGGAAUAUCUAAAGUUGAAGAGCUGAUAUAUCAUGUGUUUAAAUACUAAUGGAAAUAAUAUUGAAAUUUACUUGGUUUCUCAGUGUGGAACCAUAGCUGGUGAUUGAACUGUGGGAUAUUGAUAAGUAUAUGUAGCUUCAGUUUGCAUCUCACCUUUCUCUAGACAUACAAGAAGCAUGUAGGCAACUUUUCCUUGCUCUAGUUGCCAGCUAUGAAGAUAUGUUCUUGUUUGUUCAAAACCAACUUCUAAGAGAUACAGUACUAUUUUCUCAUAUACAUGCAUAAGGUCUAGAUUGGCUGUUAUCAAUCUCUAGCCUGUCAAAAAAGGGAAUGUAGUUAUAGACCACAGCUCUUAAAGUCCUGCUAGUCUCUCCCUGUUAUGUUGUGAUUUAACCCUGAACAUAGAAGGGAAAUUGCCCAGCUAAGGUGGCAGCCAGUGUUUCAACAGUUACUGAGGGGCUUCUCACUGGACAGCAGAAGCCAAACAGGUUAAAGAGAGUGCAUGAGCAGUGUACUCUGUUGGCAUGAUAGCUGAGAUCUCUGCAAGUAGUGGAUUUCCAGUAGUGUAGUGAGUCAUUUAGAAAGCAUUGAAUGUGCUCAGGGUGUGCAAAAAUCACUAUUUAUGUGGACUAAAUUCAGAACUUGAGGCUGUAUAGAACUGCACACUCCUGCAUGAUAGAUGCAGGACUGCUGUGAUGUUGAAUAGUGGCUUAUACAACUGGAAAGUUUGCUUGGCACUGCAUCAAUCAGUAGAAUUUGAGCUCUAUUAUACUCAUGUGUUACUGACAUCCCAGAAAACACACACUUCCAUGGCAGGUACCUUCAGGGAGGUUAAAAGAGGCAUUUUUCUCCAAACUGUCAGCCUGAAAUCAGCCUAAGUUCUCUCCUUUUUAUACUCUAGCAUGAGUAAGAAAAAUACUGGUAGCCAAAUUAGGCCUCUGGUCAUGCCCCUAUAACUCCAUUGUGUUUAAUAGGGUUGCACAACUGUAACUGCACUGGAAUUUAUUAAAUGAUCUGUUGAUGCAGAAGAAAGAGAUUUCAACUCUCUUUCAUUGCAUUGUAACACUAACUAGAACAAAAAAGCUGUUCAUGUCCUUAAUAUUUUUUGUUCCUUUUCAGAAAUAAUGAAAAAUAAAAGGUAAAUAGUUGAUAGAGGGCAUUACAGGUUAUUCACAGAUAGGCAUACAAUGUGGAAGCAAUACAAAGACAGACCCUUUCUAGAAUAUAGAGAGAUUCAUAAAACUGGGCACUACCUACCUUAGCCAAGACACUGAUGAUGGAAAAAAGCAACCCCCUAAAAAGUAAGCUUGCAUAUAAGUAAGAAAUACUGGUUUGUGUAAUUACCUAAGAAAAUUAUAAAAACCUGAUUUUUUGCUCUCUGAAUACUGGAUAUUUCAUCAUUUUUAAGAGCUUGUUGCAAAUGUAAUUUGAAGGAUUUGUUAUUAUCUGCCUCUCAGUUUAUAACUAAUGGAUCUAGUCUUCAUUUUACUGCCAUGUAAGUCUUUAUUAAAGGGAAGAUCUCAGCCUGCUUUUAGAAUUGGAGGAGAAACCAGAUCUGCUAGUCAUGAGCCAUGGGGUAAUAUCCUCUGAUGUGGUUCCAGUUUUUAUCUGACUGACUUCCUAUAAAGGUUUUUGAGCUUUCUCUGUUUUCCAGAGUGUUUAUUUUGUUUCUGUCUUCAAGAAAACAGUUUUUUAUUUCAGCAUGACUGGCAAUAUGAAAUUAUUUGCUGGACAUUCAGCCUGGUCUUGAAGUUGUAUUUUCUUUCAAGGAAGAAUUUUUACCCCUGUAAUCUUCUUGAAUGAGUUAGUCAAAGCACAGUCUCCUACUUCCAUGCUUGUUUUGGUCAGGUGGAGUUCAUACCUGCCAAGUUUAGUUUUUGGAUCAGACAUCUCAGUUAGCUGAGCAGAAAUCAGUCUGAAAUUAGGAAACUCUGCAGCAGUGUUCUGUAGCAUGCCUAGUUUACAAAGCCAGUUCUGCUUACAUUGUGUGCAGAGAAUGCUAUAUACAGUAAAAAGAGUAUAGUGGAAUACAGGUUUAUAGAAUAAGGGUCUCCUAGGCCCAGUUCUCAGCUUCUGUUUUAGAGACAUACUUCUUAGAAGCUGCAUUCUAGUAACUCAGGAUAAGCCUUCACAGGACAUUAGUUUGUGUGGAUUCUGUAUUAAGUGAAGAAAGGAGGUCACUGAAGAGCUACACAUUCCUCUCCAGAAGAGCCCCUCUUUCCUAACAGAAGUGAGUUGUCACUUCAAAUGCUUAAUGGAAUGACAUACAUUUUUGGGUGUUUCUCAGCUACAGUGGCAUACUUACAGGGUCAACAUUAACAAAUUCAGUCAUUCAAAGUCUUCUGUUUGUUCUCAGUGGAAAAAUACUGGGUGGUAGUCCAAAGAUUUUCAAGGGAUGUCAUCAUUAAUGGUGUUACUGCAACUGAGACUGAAGGUUGAUGAUUUUUUCUGAUUUGUCCAUUAUAAAAAUGUGGGGUUUUUCAAUCUGUAAUGGAGUGCUUUGUUGGGUGAUAUUUUCAGUCUUCACUAAUUUUUAUUCAUUCCUAUAAUCUCUUCAAAUCUGAUAGGAAUAUUUUUAGAUAUGCCUUCUUCCAUAAAGUUUCUUUCAGCAGGCCUCUAUGCUGAAAGAGAAGAUAGUUUCUAAAGACUCUUCCAGUUAUAAACCUAAACAUGUCUUACACCCUUAAUUUCAAGCUGGUAGGAAUACAGCCUCAUCUCAGAAGUACUAGUGGAAUGCACAGGCAAUCGAGGAAAAACAUUUAUAGGAAGCCAUCUAGUUGUGAAAUUAUUUGGAAAUGCUGAUCUAGUGCAUAAACUGAUUAGAAGACUCCAAGCAUGUUCAUUAGUAUUGCAUCCUUACAUAAUAAGAACUUGAAUUCUCUUAAUUAGUGUUUCUAGCAUCACCAUGAACCAUGCAUGAAUGCAGCGUUUCAGUGGGAGGAAAUUUUUAUACCAGAUGACGAAUAAUAAAAAGAACUCAAUGCUCUGUAGAUAACAGUAAGAGUUAUCUUGCCUUAAAGAAUAGCUGUUGGAAGUAAACAGUUGAGCAUGUGCUAACUUGAACAUAAUCACUUGAAGACUUUGUUUGUAUUUUCAUCUCAGUAUCAGUCUUGACUUUAUUGUACUUAAAGCUGUCACAGUAUAGAGUAUUCCCAAAUUGGAGUUAAAAUUACAUUUUCUGUACACUGUUCUUCCAUCACUAUGUUAAGCAUCUUCAGAAAGGUAAAGCAAGAUUCAUGUAAAUAUACUUGCUAGGUAAAAUGAUAGUCCUCACUGGGUAAUCGUUUUAUGCUGCUUAUCUGUUACACCAUAUCUAGCCAAAUAGGGAAAAAUGAGCUGUUUAAUAUAAUGUCUUAUGUUUUGACAAUCUCAUUUAAAAAGUAAUUCUACUCCUUAUUCUGGAAUCACACUGAGGGCAAAAGCCUUGAAAUAAUGGGUAUUGUCACUUUAGGAGGAUGAAAACUAGGAAUAUUUACCUACUUCCCUAAAAUUUAGGUUUUCAAACAAUUAGAUAAAUGUUUUCAAUGAAUUUACCUUUAUGUGUGUAGGAAGCACAAAAGGGCCUACUCACAUGAAAAAUAGGUUUUCUCUAUUGAAUCGUAAACUCCAUAUUCUGUGUGGAAAAAUGCAGUUUUUGAAAACAGAGUGUCAUUAACAUAAGAUGUACUAACUUCCAAAGUUUUCAAAACCUUUGGUGUUGAGAGUUGGUUUGGUUUUUGUUCUGCUGUUGUUUACUAUCUGGUUAGGUCCUGCCCCAUGCAGACCACCUGUGUUCCCAGCUGUCAUAGAUGUGUAGAUCUUUUUGCUUGAAGUAGGGGUUUUCAGGAACACACAAGCAUAAUUUUUCCUUUUUCUAUAGCUUUUCAGUGCACUUCACUUAAACUGGACAUGUGACUAUCAGCAUGUGUGUUGUUACACAUACUGCUCAUUAAGUAAGCCUGAUAAAGUUCCAAACAUUUAACAGUUUAGGAGUGAUUGUAAGUCUUUAAACAAGGAGACAUAAGGUAUAUUCAUUCAUAAAACUUAGCAGUCAAGUUAGUCCUGAGGGUUGCUUUAAACUGUUUUUGUCAUGUCUUGUAAAUUGCAAAACAUCCCUUCUCCCACCCUUCUGUUUCUACUGCAGAUUUUAUGAAACUAUUGCAGAAUCAUAAUUGUGGGUGAAUAGAUAAGGCUUUAUUAAAGUAUGUUCAUUGUGCUGCAUUGAUGAAAAUUCUCAGCCAAAAUUGAAAAUUAAUUAGUAUUAAUGGAAGUAGUGUGGGACAUCUUCUUCAAUCAAAAAUUGGCAUGUUUUGAAAAAAAAAUGUUAUCUGGAAGCAAUUAGUUACUUAGCUCAAAACUCAAACAAAAUUCAGUAAAGAUUUUGACUAAGUUCUGGCUGCUUAGAAACAAAGUUCUCUUGGUGAAUUUCUUGAUGUCUUCAUUCAGUAAGCACUGACCUUCUGAAAUAACCAGGCUGUACAUCUUCAUGAGAGACUUUUGACUUACCAUAAUAAAGCAUAGCUUUUUUUCCCCUUCCCUUUUGAUCUUCUUUUUCCUCUUCAGUGGAUUAUUACCAGCUUCCACCAUGAAGAGAAUGUUUUGUGUGACCUAAGCUCCAUGUUUUCACUGAUCUUGGUUGGAAUAUUCUGGAGGUACACAGCCCAGAGUUGGUGCGCUGAUAGGGGCUGUGGCUGGAGCUUUAACCAGCUCCAGUACAAGUGAAACAUGCUCAGAGCAGCAGAUAGCCCAGCUUUGAGGACUGCAGUGGGUUGAAGAGAAUUGCCCUUACCUUGUUCUUUUUGCUGGCAGCAGCCAUCAACUUUUACGGUCACUUGCCUAGUCACCUCAUUAAAGUUGGAUGGAACUUUCAUGCUUUUGUUUUCCCACCAAAUUAGUUAGGAAGAGAAGAAGAUAAUCUGGAAAAGAUGUGGACAAUGUAUUUAAAGUUCCCACAAAGUGUGAAGUGCCUCGACACUCAGUUUUAAUUUUUUUUGGUGGUUGUUGAUGCUUGCCUAUAGUACUUCCAGUUAUAAACUACAUUGUCUUAUCUUUUUUGCUGGUAUAUUACAGUUCCCUAGCUCGCAUGAAUAUUUCAUAUAUAUGUUUGAACAUGGAUGUUAUGAGUCAGCCAUUAGGUCACGGUGGAGGCGCAAGCAUCUCUGAGAAAAUUAUUACAUUUUGAUGUGGUUAAGUAACUGAAAUCACUUUUACAGAAUUUGGACAGGUUAUGUCAUGUUGCUUUUGCCCUGCCCUGUCCCACAUUCUUUCCUCUCUCUAGCUGAUGAAAUGGCUGUUAGAAAGAGAUAAUAAUUAAAAAAAAGAACAACCCUAAAUGCUCCUUACAGGGAUAUUUGUUACAAAUAACUUGUAUAUUGCUGUCACUGACACAGUGUCAUGCUAAACUAAAAAAAAAAAAAAAAGCUAUUUUUCAAGAAGAUUUUUCUGAGUUAUUGUACCUACAUGUGUGUUUCAUCUUAGAGGUAAAUACAAACUUAGCCUGUAAGUAAUACUUUUUUUUUCCUGUUGCUGAUGGAUAUUCCCGUCAUGAGUCAGAAAUGGAAGGGUAAUUCUAAAGGCAAAUGUUCUGAGUUUGGUAUUGUAUGGUAGUGAUGGAUGUAGCAAACAUUCUGGGAUAAAACUGUGCUUGCACCUUUCUAACUGAUGAUGGAGAAAAUGCCCUUAGCAAUCCUGUUUCGGUGCCAGCAUUCUUUGGCAGUGUGCAAAUUCUAGUACCAAAAGUGCCAGGUGUAUUCAUUUGCUCUUCCUCUAUGGAAGGCAUCUUUUUGAGUUUUUUACUUUUCCCCUGUGCCUUGCCUGCUCUCACCCUUCCCUGCCCCCCCCCCUUUUUUUUUCUUUUUUUUGUGAGCAGUGUGUUGUUUCACAUCUGGUGUGUGAUUGACACUUUGCUGGCAGUUUCCCUUGACUGGCAGUUUCCUUUUACAGACCAUCGAUAUAGAAGCAAAUUACUAAGCAGAACGGGGUUGGCAUAAUGGUUGUGCAUCUGUUUAAAAGUACUGGUGCUGGUCAUCUUGAUGAAGCUGUGAGCCAUUGACGACUUGCUGUUUGUGAGAUCUGUUCAUUAGAUGUUUGGUACUCCCAAAGUAUUCAGAUAUCUACCCUGUGCACUCUGGCAAUGUGUUUUUCUGCAUAGCAAGAGAUACUGUCAUUAGAACAAAGACAAGGCACAUCAUCUUGCAGAAAAUACUGAGAAAUUCCACAGAGAUGAGGAAUACUGCAAGAUAUAAAAUGGAUGCCAGAUGUGUCUGGAAGUUUGUGUUUUUCUCCUCUGUAAAUAUGGUUCUUGAGGUAAUCAAAUCCAUAUUCAUCAUAAUUCAGGGGAUGUAGUCCUUGAAAAGAGCUUUACUCUGUGCCACUGGAUUGAACCAAGUUGUCCUAGGCUGAGUAAUCUCAGGUACUUGUCUACUUGUUUGCAUCUCCCCACUCAUCUUGUUUCCCUAGGCACUUCAGAGAUUAGGAGUCUCUUGCUAGUAGGAGUAGCUGGCUUGGCUAGGCUGGGGGGAGACUCUCAUUUAAUGUUUGGAGUAAGCAGGGAAAGAAAAGGGUUUGUCUUUAUACAUGAGAUCAUUAAUUCUGGCUGUGCAUAGUCUGUUUUCAUUAUCAACGUGAUACAGGGUCAUCUGCACUGUUAAUGCAUGUCUGACUAAUUAGCUUAUAGCAGAAAUUGGGAUAAUAUUUCAAGAUUGUAUCCCUUUUGACUUUAUUUUCUGAACUUGUCAACUGGCACAAGCUGGAAUAUCUGUAGUCAGUUCUGAUUUUUCAAAAAUCAAACUCCAGUGGUGGGGUAUUGAGCUUUUUGAACAAUCAUAAGUUUGAGGCAAGACCAUUUUCAUUGGAGUUACUUGGCCGUAUGUUGGGCACAUGGACUUAAUUUAUUAUUGCUGUUUCCUGCAGUUCCUGAACUGUGACCUUAGCCCUUAAGACAAGUGACUUGCAAUCUCAUAUCAGUUGUCUGAAAUUCUUCUGCUAUGUGCAGAUACAGAGAAUGUAUAAAAAGGGCUGUUUUUUUCUGUUCUUGCUCACCAUUCCUGUUUCCAUACUGCUGGCACCGAUGUCUUGUUUCAGGCUGCAGUAUCUAGCUCUGCCAUUUGUAGAUGCAGGAUACCUUUUUUUCUAAAAUACCUGAAUGACUUACAGCUCUGUCAAUAAGUCUGUUUCUUGAGAGUUCCUUCUUAAAUGCACUGUUUGCAUACUGACAGCUUAAUGUGUUGAUGACUUACAUGAACAAGCAGGGCAAGACAAUUGGUUAUCAUCCCUUUGUAAGAAAAAGCAUUGAGUCUUGUGAUAAAUAACUUUCUUUGUGAACCUUGUUAGCUUUGCCAUGUCUUCAAUCCCAGCAGUACUUUUACAGACUUCUUGAAUAAAGAGAAUAGAAUAAAGAUGUUGACUAGCUCCUGCUACAGUUUCCAACUUGUAUUCUACUUGGUGUUUGUCACGUUUGUUUGUGACAAAAAAGGGGAUACUGAAUAAUUAAGACUUUUGCCGAAGUGGCAGAAUGCCUCCUUUCUUUGUCUUGAUUGCUCUGAAUUCAGAGUACUCUAAAAAUUAUUGGAUAGGUCUUUCGUAAUCACAGUUCAUUUUGCAAAUGUAAAAAUGUUAUCAGACCUAUUUAAAAAAAUUUAUUCCAACUCAGUCUUAUACCUUCUGGAUUAGCUCUUACUGAGCGAUGCUGUCAGCCUUUUCCUUUGCAGCUUCAGUAAAGCUUAUGCAAAAUAGAUAAUUCAAAUAGGAAAAGAGUGUUUUCAAAAUGAAAAAACCCCAAACCUAAAAUUGUAAGUAGAUGAAUGUGUUUGGAACACAUAUGGCUGACAUUUCUAUGCAGUGUUCCAGUUUGUUGUAGUUCGGUGUGUUUCAGUACAGUGUCAGUUUUUCAUAAGAAAUUUCUUAAGAGCCUCAUUUGUAUUUUUCUUCCAAUUAGCAAUUUAUCAUUUUGUUCUGACUAGUAUUACUUUUCUAAAGGUUAGCUGCUUUUAGGGAACUAUGACAGUAAACAUGAAAUAUUUCUUUGAAUUCCUGUCAGAAUGAUCUGUGUGCUGUUAAAUUCUAGCUACGCUUCCUCACAGCUGAUAGCUGAGCUAGGUGGAGGAUAGUGAGAUCAGUGUCUUCUAAGCUCCUAAAUCUAGGUGUCUUUUACAUGUCUUUCUAGAAGGACAAAACAGUGAUGAAGUCAGCUCUAAAUUAAUUUCAAUAUUUAAAUGGUUUCAAAAUUCUCCUUGAACCAGUUAGCCACUUCAUUGUCUUCCCCCAUCAGGAUUUGACAUUGUGAGAGGAAAGUCUGCAUGCUUGGAACACUUACAGAGCUGUUCUUGGCUAGCUCCUCUAGACUAAACCAUUUAUUUGUUGCUCUUUUCAGCCUUUGAGCCCAUGCUCUGAAGAGUGGUGGAAAUGGAUCAGAGAAUGCGAAUGCAGCAGUGGAUAACUACUUGGACUGCUGAGUCUCUUUCCUCUAGCAGACACAAAUGAUAUUGUGCCUGUUUCAGAAGGAGAAGAGCAUUACCCUGCUGGUAGUCUCUAGGGGAAGGAGCCAGCUUUUCAGAUGGUUCUGUAUUCCAUGAUGAAUGACAUCCCUCGAGGUAU